rnacentral:rRNA from 1 species
ACGCCCACCUCUAUGGAUCUUAGCAGCGCACGAGUGAAGCGGCAAAAGCUCAAAUUUGAAAUCUGGCACCUUCGGUGUCCGAGUUGUAAUUUGAAGAUUGUAACCUUGGGGUUGGCUCUUGUCUAUGUUUCUUGGAACAGGACGUCACAGAGGGUGAGAAUCCCGUGCGAUGAGAUGCCCAAUCCUAUGUAAGGUGCUUUCGAAGAGUCGAGUUGUUUGGGAAUGCAGCUCUAAGUGGGUGGUAAAUUCCAUCUAAAGCUAAAUAUUGGCGAGAGACCGAUAGCGAACAAGUACAGUGAUGGAAAGAUGAAAAGAACUUUGAAAAGAGAGUGAAAAAGUACGUGAAAUUGUUGAAAGGGAAGGGUUUGAGAUCAGACUCGAUAUUUUGUGAGCCUUGCCUUCGUGGCGGGGUGACCCGCAGCUUAUCGGGCCAGCAUCGGUUUGGGCGGUAGGAUAAUGGCGUAGGAAUGUGACUUUGCUUCGGUGAAGUGUUAUAGCCUGCGUUGAUGCUGCCUGCCUAGACCGAGGACUGCGAUUUUAUCAAGGAUGCUGGCAUAAUGAUCCCAAACCGCCCGUCUUGAAACCACGGACAA